GAGGACUCCCCAACGAUCCUUAACACAGCCAUAUGACUGAUAGCCCUCAUCCCACCCCCCCAAAAAAAGUCUAGUGAGAAGAAAAUGCUUAAAAAUAUUCUGAUGCAUGCAUAUCAUGGAGUUCUUUCCAGCAGUCAAAGAGAAUGAAGGCAAAAAAUGGAAAGCUCUCCAAAACAUAUCGUUCACUGAAAACCAAACUGUGACAUACUGCAUAGAGUUUGAUAGCAUUCCACAGAAUAAAAUUUUAUUCUGUGUGGACAUAUAUUAAUAUAUACAAAUGCAGACCGGGCACGGUGGCUCACUCCUGUAAUCCCAGCACUUUGGGAGGCCGAAGUGGGUGGAUUACUGAAGGUUAGGAGUUUGAGAUCAGCCUGGGCAACAUGGUGAAACCCCAUCUCUAUUAAAAAUACAAAAAUCAGCUGGGCGUCAUGGCGCACCCCUGUAGUAGCCUGUAAACCCAGCUACUCUGGUGGCUGAGGCAGGAGAAUCACUUGAACCUGGGAGGCAGAGGUUGCAGUGAGCCAAGAUCGUACCACUGCACUCCAGCCUGGGCAACAGAGCAAGACUCUGUCUCAGAAAAACAAAAACAUAUGCAAAUGCAUAUAAUAAAAGUCUUGGAGAAAUGGAACGUACAUCAAACAGACAACAGAUUGGCAUUGAGAUGCCAAGCCAAAGGAAUGCUUAUCUGUAUUUUCAUUUUUUUUUUUUUACAAUGAGGAUACAUUUUUUAAUGAGAAGCAAUAUAGCAUAAUGGUUAAGGGCAUAGCUCCUAGAGCCAGUUCAAAUCCCAGCUCUGAAGCUUACCAGCACUGUGCCUGCGUCAUGACUUAAGCUGUCUGUAUAGUGGAGAUGCUGGGCAUGCCAACCUCCCAGAGAAGCUGUGAAGAUUAAACUAAGAGUUACAGGUAAUACACUCAUAAAAGCUGCUGGGGCCGGGUGUGGUGGCUCAUGCCAGUAAUCCCAACACUUUGGGAGGCUGAGGAGGGUGGAUCCCCUGAGGUCGGGAGUUCGAGACCAGUCUGGCCAAGAUGGUGAAGCCCCAUCUCUACUAAAAGUACAAAAAUUAGCUGGGCAUGGUGGCACACACCUGUAAUCCCAGCUACUCUGGAGGCUGAGGCAGGAGAAUCACUUGAUCCUAGGAGGUAGAGGUUGCAGUGGGCCGAGAUCGCGCCGUUGCACUCCAGCCUGGGUGAAUGAGCCAGACUCUGUCUCAAAAAGAAAAACUUCCUGGCAUGGAGUGAGGGCUACCUAAACAACUGAGACCAGGAGGCAGGGGAUAGGGAAGGUAUGGGAAAUUGGCCAGCACAAUUACCACCUGAUGGUGGGAGUUCACACGCAAGAAUCCACUUUGCAUACCUGUGUGCUGUGCAUUCCUGUGGAAUACACCACCACUCCCCACAGCACACCCAGAUAAAGUACUGGGCAGCAUGGCCUCUUCCCCUGGUCCCCAAGACACCUGAGGACAGCCUCCACUGGCAGCACUGAUGUCGGAUACCUAUCAGGAGGUGAUGUUGGGAAAACCACACUACAGCCUAGAUAUAAUUGUUUAAGGAUCUUGAGAUAAAGUCAUCCUGGAUUUAGGGUGGGUCCUAACUCCAACGGCUGGAGUCCUUAGAAGAAGAGGAGACAUACCAAGGGAAGAAGGUCACCUGGAGAUGGAGGCAGAGAUUGGAGAGAUGCAGCCACAAGCCAAGAAACACCUGGAGGCACCAGAAACUGGAGGACGCAAAGAAUGGCCCUCGCUUAGAGCCUUCAGAGGGAGCAAGGCCCUGCUAACACCUUGAUUUUGGACUCUGG
ensembl:lncRNA novel transcript, antisense to GRIN2A